rnacentral:rRNA from 1 species
UGGGGAAUAUUGCACAAUGGGCGAAAGCCUGAUGCAGCGACGCCGCGUGAGUGAAGAAGGCCUUCGGGUCGUAAAACUCUGUCCUUGGUGACGAAAAAAAUGACGGUAGCCAAGGAGGAAGCCCCGGCUAACUACGUGCCAGCAGCCGCGGUAAUACGUAGGGGGCGAGCGUUGUCCGGAUUUACUGGGCGUAAAGGGUGAGUAGGCGGUUGUAUAAGUCAGAUGUAAAAGGCACAGGCUUAACUUGUGUAAGCAUUUGAAACUGUACAACUUGAGUGCAGGAGAGGUAAGUGGAAUUCCUAGUGUAGCGGUGAAAUGCGUAGAUAUUAGGAGGAACACCAGUGGCGAAGGCGACUUACUGGACUGUGACUGACGCUGAGUCACG